rnacentral:rRNA from 1 species
GCUUGUCUCAAAGAUUAAGCCAUGCAUGUCUAAGUACAAGCCUCAGUAAGGUGAAACCGCGAAUGGCUCAUUAAAUCACACCUAAUCUACUGGAAAGUUACUAGUUACUUGGAUAACUGAGGUAAUUCUUGAGCUAAUACAUGCGAAAAGACGCGACUCACGAAGCGUUGUAUUUAUUAGAUACAAAACCAAUGCGGGGCAACCCGGUAUAAGGUGAUUCAUAAUAACUUUGCGAAUCGCAUGGCCUUGCGCCGGCGAUGAAUCAUUCAAAUUUCUGCCCUAUCAACUUUCGAUGGUAAGGUAUUGGCUUACCAUGGUCGCAACGGGUAACGGGGAAUAAGGGUUCGGUUCCGGAGAGGGAGCCUGAGAAAUGGCUACCACAUCCAAGGAAGGCAGCAGG